UACGAAGGGUGCAAACGUUGCUCGGAAUUAUUGGGCGUAAAGCGCACGUAGGCGGCUUAGCAAGUUGGAUGUGAAAGCCCUCGGCUUAACCAAGGAAGUGCAUCCAAAACUGCUGAGCUUGAGUAGUUAAGAGGAUCGCGGAAUUCCCGGUGUAGAGGUGAAAUUCGUAGAUAUCGGGGGGAACACCAGUGGCGAAGGCGGCGAUCUGGGAACAUACUGACGCUGAGGUGCGAAAGCGUGGGGAGCAAACAGG
rnacentral:rRNA from 1 species